UUCCUAUCAUAACAGGUUUCAGCUCUGGUUAGGACGAGGUCCUCCUCUUGUUUCUAAUGCGGCCGUGGGCGUACAUAUGGGCGUUGCUGGGCCCUUCCCACCUUCCGGCCUAAAGAGAGCCGGGCCUUCGACUUUGCUCGAGUUAGGGCGAGGUUCUCCUUCUAUCCCUAACAGGGCUGUGGGGGCGCAUAUGGGCGUUGCAGGGCCUCUCCCCCCAUC
rnacentral:lncRNA from 1 species